rnacentral:rRNA from 1 species
GACGAACCGUGCGAACGUUGUUCGGAUUCACUGGGCUUAAAGGGCGCGUAGGCGGGUUGUCAAGUCAGGGGUGAAAGCCUCCAGCUCAACUGGAGAAGUGCCUUUGAUACUGAUGAUCUUGAGGGAGGUAGGGGCAUGUGGAACUUCCGGUGGAGCGGUGAAAUGCGUAGAUAUCGGAAGGAACGCCGGUGGCGAAAGCGACGUGCUGGACCUCUUCUGACGCUGAGGCGCGAAAGCUAGAGGAGCGAACGGG